GUGUAGGAAGAUAGGGGUACAGGAAAAGUUGACUCCUUCUUUGUGUCUUCUCCGCUAAAGUUCUCGCCGCUUCCUUCUCCUUCUGGAUCGGCAGGUCACAAGUGGUGGAAGUUAUAAAUUUGCAGUCUUGUUCAAGGACGUCUAGGGGUUAGCAUUUUGAAAGAAGAUGAAAUGCAUUGCCUUGUUUCUGGAGCCUUACCUUUCUUUAUUCAACAUUAUAUUUACGUUGGUGUCUGCAUAUGUAGAUGUGCCUUUAUUACCAGCACUUUUUAAAAAACAGAAACGUAAAAGCUGGCUCUGAUUAUUGGUGGAUGCUUGCUAAUUUCUUUAUUUAUAUACUCAUCUGUACACUUUUAUUAUGCAGCAGGCUAUUCGACAUGAAGCCUUCACAAACACGAAGAGUGAGAAAGAAUUUGUACAGAUAGAUGAUAGAUCCCAAUGACUUGUAUCCAGAGCAGUGGCUUGAGCUGUAGCAUGAGUCAUAUUGAUUUUAUUGAUCUUGAUAUAAUGAUAUGUUUGUUGAUGUUCUUGUUUA